GACGAACGCUGGCGGCGUGCUUAACACAUGCAAGUCGAACGGUGAAAGGGAGCUUGCUCCCUGGAUCAGUGGCGAACGGGUGAGUAACACGUGGGCAACCUGCCCCAGACUUCGGGAUAACGCUUCGAAAGGAGUGCUAAUACCGGAUACGAACUCCUUGGGCAUCCUUGGGGUUGGAAAGUUUUUCGGUCUGGGAUGGGCCCGCGGCCUAUCAGCUUGUUGGUGAGGUAACGGCUCACCAAGGCGACGACGGGUAGCCGGCCUGAGAGGGCGACCGGCCACACUGGGACUGAGACACGGCCCAGACUCCUACGGGAGGCAGCAGUGGGGAAUAUUGCGCAAUGGGCGAAAGCCUGACGCAGCAACGCCGCGUGAGGGAUGACGGCCUUCGGGUUGUAAACCUCUUUUAGUAGGGAAGAAGCGAAAGUGACGGUACCUGCAGAAAAAGCACCGGCUAACUACGUGCCAGCCGCCGCCGUAAUAC
rnacentral:rRNA from 1 species